ensembl:lncRNA
UUUUGAUAAAAUUGCAUUCUAUACGUCCGCUUCCAAAACUGAAAGUCUGUCCGGCCAUGAUGGGCUGCACCUUAUCCGUUAACAAAUAGCUCCCUUGGCAGGGUUCAUGUAAAAUGCUACUUUUAUAAAUAAAAUACAGAUCUGAGUCUUUCACUCAGUAUUUUUGUUAAACAGAAAACCCAAACAUAUGGCAGCAGAUCCACAAGGUCUGCCAUGAGAGGUGACUUAAGGAAAAGCACCUUUAGCAAAUCCGCUUUCUCUGUGAGAGCUUCCCAUGUCUGGAAUACACUGCCAUCAGACACACAUAACUGCACCACCUAUCACACUUUCACAAAAUGUAUGAAUACAUGGCUAAAGGUCAAUCAGAUUUGUGAUCAUAAUCCCUAGAUGUGUAUUGCCACUUUCCAUGUUAUCUGUAGCUUGUGAGGUGUGGAAACACUUUGUUGCUUUUAUGAAUUUUGCCUUGCUGCUUUUUGUCCUAUGUUGCUCUGUCUGUAUGCUACGUCUUGCUUGUCCUAUGUUGCUCUGCGUGUGCUCACUACUCAAUAAUUGUCUAUAUUGUAAUUGUUUUUAAUAACCUGCCCAGGGACUGCGGUUGAAAAUUUGCCGGCUGGCUAAAACCAACACUUUUACUGAAACGUUGAUAACUGUGCACUGUCCCUGUAAAAAUAAAAUAAACUCACUCAAUAGUAAACCAAGAAAAGCUUGCAGCUACACAGAACAAACAUAGGUACAAGGAAACAAUUAAAGAAUUGACAUUUUUACAAGUAUCGACUGAUGGUGACUCGAUGUAGUUCGAGGUAGCCUAGAGUCCACCUACACUCAUCGCAACUCAACUCCAUCGAGAUGUACACUGAGUGUACAAAACAUCAAGAGCACCUGCUCUUUCCAUGACAGAUGGACCAGGUGAAAGCUAUGAUCCCAUUGAUGCUGCUUGUUAAAUCCACUUCAGUCAGUGUAGAUGAAGGUUAAAGACCAGAAGGAUUUUUAAGCCUAGAGACAAUUGAGACAUGGAUUGUGUAUGUGUGACAUUCAGAGGGUGAAUGGGGCAAGACAUAAUAUUUAAGUGCCUUUGAACAGGGUAUGGUAGUAGGUUUGUGUCAAGAACUGCAACCCUGUUGGGUUUUUCACGCUCAACAGUUUCCCGUGUGUAUUAAGAAUGGUCCACCACCCAAAGGACAUCCGGCCAACUUGACUCCAAUGCUUCUCACAGUUUUGUCAACAUGGGUCAGCAUCCUGUGGAACACUUUUGACACCUUUGUAGGGUCCAUGCUUCGACAAAUUACGGCUGUUCUGAGGGCAGAAGGUGUUGUGCUGUGCACUCGGUGUAUAUAUCAUCGUUGAGUAAACUCCGCUAGUUGAGGGGGAAAGUACGUCACUCGGAUCAGACUCUCGACCAGUGGUUGGGCUAUCUUACCCACUCCCCGCCAGAGCUGGGUUCAGACUCUUUUACAAACCUUUCAAAUACGCUGAGCAUUUGCUCUAGUCUGCCUGAAGAGCCAGAUGGGUGGGGUUUGCACUUUUGAGACGUCUCUAUUGGUUCCAUUGCAGCAGGUACGCUCAAUCAAGCAUAGAUGCAAUAUUUGAAAUGAUUUCUAAUGGUAUUUGAACCCAGGUCUGGGGGGGGACUCUGCAUUCCCUUGUGUGGAAUCUGUGGAGACACCCAAGCUCUCCUAG